UAAGGAUAUCCUGGACGCACUGGUGUCCC
rnacentral:sRNA from 1 species